rnacentral:rRNA from 1 species
UACAGAGACUGCAAGCGUUAUUCGGAUUCACUGGGCGUAAAGGGCGCGUAGGCGGGCUGUCAAGUUUGGGGUGAAAUCCCGCGGCUCAACCGUGGAACUGCCUCAAAUACUGACGGUCUCGAGGGGGAUAGGGGCGAGCGGAACUAAUGGUGGAGCGGUGAAAUGCGUUGAUAUCAUUAGGAACUCCGGUGGCGAAGGCGGCUCGCUGGAUCUCUUCUGACGCUGAGGCGCGAAAGCUAGGGGAGCAAACGGG